AAGGAAAAAAGAAGAAGCUAUAUACAGAAAUACACAUCGACCUUGUACUUCUUGCACUUGCAACAUUCUAAUUUGAAGUUAUUUGGUUUCUUUUCCUAGAUUUCUUAAUUAUCUUUUCUGAAGGCUCAAUUUGACAGCUUUUUCUUUUUAUUUGACGCCCCUAUUUGAAUAUAUGGUCUUCCUUUUGCUCCUAUGUAACAGGUAUGAAAAAUAUCAUGUUUGUUAUGGAGGUGAAGAGGAAGAGAGAAAAUCGAACUACACCGAUAUGGUAAAUAAGUACUAUGAUCUUGUCACAAGUUUCUACGAAUAUGGCUGGGGAGAAUCAUUCCACUUUGCGCCCAGAUGGAAAGGAGAGUCUCUAAAAGAGAGCAUUAAAAGGCAUGAGCACUUCCUUGCCUUGCAGCUUGGCCUGAAACCGGGACAGAAGGUCUUGGACGUAGGAUGUGGAAUUGGUGGACCGUUAAGAGAAAUUGCUAGAUUCAGUUCUACAUCAGUUACAGGCCUCAACAACAAUGAGUAUCAGAUAACAAGAGGAAAGGCCCUAAACCGUGUUGCAGGAGUAGACAAGACUUGUGACUUCGUGAAAGCUGAUUUCAUGAAGAUGCCAUUCCCUGACAAUAGUUUUGAUGCCAUAUAUGCAAUUGAAGCAACCUGCCAUGCUCCAGAUGCUGUUGGGUGCUACAAGGAGAUUUAUAGGGUACUGAAACCUGGUCAGUGUUUUGCUGCGUAUGAGUGGUGCAUGACUGAUGUCUUCGACCCCAAUAACCAAGAGCACAAAAAGAUCAAGGCCGAAAUUGAAUUAGGUAAUGGCCUUCCUGAUAUAAGGCUGACACAUCAAUGCCUUGAAGCGGUUAAAAAAGCAGGUUUUGAAGUUGUGUGGGAGAAGGAUCUUGCAGUGGACUCGCCCCUCCCAUGGUACUUGCCUCUGGAUAAAAGUCACUUCUCGCUCAGCAGUUUCCGUUUGACAGCAAUCGGACGGUUUAUCACCAAAAACAUGGUCAUGGGUCUUGAAAAGGUGGGACUUGCUCCUCAGGGAAGUCAACGGGUUCAAGCUUUCUUGGAGAAAGCAGCAGAAGGACUUGUUGCUGGUGGACAGAAAGAAAUUUUCACCGCAAUGUAUUUCUUCUUGGCUCGGAAGCCCCAUUCGGACAGCGAGUGACCUGAAAGUGUGAACUGUAUGCACCGCGCACCUCCAUUUACUUAUGAUUUUUCCUGAGGACUGGUGAAGGCCAUUGUAGGUGGCCUUGGACUACAACUUUGCUUUGUUUGGGAUUGGUUUUUUAUGUUUAUUAGCAUUUUGCCUUCAAUUUUCCAA